CACCGCCUGGGGAGUACGACCGCAAGGUUAAAACCCAAAUGAAUUGACGGGGACCCGCACAAGUAGUGGAGCAUGUGGUUUAAUUCGAAGAUACGCGCAGAACCUUACCAACACUUGACAUGUCUGUUGCGAAACUAAGAGAUUGGUUUCUUCAUUCAGUUGGACAGAACACAGGUGCUGCAUGGCUGUCGUCAGCUCGUGUCGUGAGAUGUUGGGUUAAGUCCCGCAACGAGCGCAACCCUUACUUUUAGUUGCCAUCAUUUAGUUGGGAACUCUAAAAGAACUGCCAGUGAUAAGCUGGAGGAAGGCGGGGAUGACGUCAAGUCCUCAUGGCCCUUACGUGUUGGGCUACACACGUGCUACAAUGGCACUUACAGUAGGAAGCAAAGAGGCAACUCUUAGCAAAGCUUAAAAAAGUGUCUCAGUUCGGAUUGUACUCUGCAACUCGAGUGCAUGAAGCUGGAAUUACUAGUAAUCGCGGAUCAGCGCGCCGCGGUGAAUACGUUCCCGGGUCUUGUACACACCGCCCGUCACACCAUGGGAGUUGGUUUCACCUUAAGGCAAAUAGCUAACCUUCGGGAGGCAUUUGACCACGGUAAAAUCAGCAACUGGGGUGAAGUCGUAACAAGGUAGCCGUAGGGGAACCUGCGGCUGGAUCACCUCCUUUCUAAGGAAAUCAAAAUAAUUUUUUUUGAUUUAAAAAAUAGGUAGUGUGACCGUCCUCAUUUCUCUUCUUCUAAUGUCUCUGUUGAAAUGCAUAGGGGCCGGUAGCUCAGGUGGUUAGAGCGCACCCCUGAUAAGGGUGAGGUCGGACGUUCGAGUCGUCCUCGGCCCACCAUAUUAAAAAAACGGGGGAUUAGCUCAGCUGGGAGAGCGCCUGAUUUGCAUUCAGGAGGUCAGCGGUUCGAUCCCGCUAUCCUCCACCAAAAUUAAGACAUUUAGCUUUUUUAAAUUGUAAAUAUUAUUAAUAUCUAUAUCCGAUUGUUAGUGGGUAUAAAAACCUGUUGACAAUCAAACAAAAAUUUAAUUUACACAGAAUUUUUUUCUG
rnacentral:sRNA from 1 species